UGUAGAGGACUAAGAAGGCAUAAUCUGUUGAGCAAGAUUCUGCUGAUACCAUCCUCUUAGAGAAAUGGGAUGGAGAGAGGGGUCCAGUUUGCAGAAGAGCAAAGACCUCACUGUGCUAUCCAACAAAG